UGCAGUUUAUCUUUUGGGUCAAAC
rnacentral:siRNA from 1 species